CCUGGUCAGGUCCGGAAGGAAGCAGCCACAGCUAUUUUUUGCAAGUGCCGGGGGUUUGGCUCGCCACC
rnacentral:SRP_RNA from 1 species